rnacentral:lncRNA from 1 species
GCUGUGGGAAACCUAGCUGCUCAAUGAAGGGGCUGAAAAAUCCAUUCCAGUUCUGACUGCAGUCUUUUGUAACAACACCUUGUCUAAAGACCACCAGAAUCAAUUCUAGCAGCUUUCAAAUGCGUGUACUUAAAAAAAAGAAAGAAUUUCCAACAGACAUAUAAAAUGCCAGAAUUAAAGUUCCUUCGCCAUUUCAGCUGCCACCAUCCCCUCUCCCCAAAACCCCAGUAGACAUCAACAGAAUCCAGAAACUACAGGGUCCACUGGCAUGGCAGGGCCUGUAGGAUUCUUUUCCAAUGUGUACAGAUUGGCUGAUGCCUGGACUAUGCCAGUUCACUGUUUUAAAGAUUACUCUUGAUUGUCACAAUUAAAAACAAAGAAUAUUUAGAACCAAAUUAUAUGUGUUGCACAUUAAACAAAACGUUUUAUAAUA